rnacentral:rRNA from 1 species
AACGAACGCUGGCGGCAUGCCUAACACAUGCAAGUCGAACGAGACCUUCGGGUCUAGUGGCGCACGGGUGCGUAACGCGUGGGAACCUGCCCUUAGGUUCGGAAUAACUCCCCGAAAGGGGUGCUAAUACCGGAUCAUGUCUUCGGACCAAAGAUUUAUCGCCUUUGGAUGGGCCCGCGUUGGAUUAGCUAGUUGGUAGGGUAAAGCCUACCAAGGCGACGAUUCAUAGCUGGUCUGAGAGGAUGAUCAGCCACACUGGGACUGAGACACGGCCCAGACUCCUACGGGAGGCAGCAGUGGGGAAUAUUGGACAAUGGGCGAAAGCCUGAUCCAGCAAGGCCGCGUGAGUGAUGAAGGCCGUAGGGUUGUAAAGCUCUUUUACCCGGGAUGAUAAUGACAGUACCGGGAGAAUAAGCUCCGGCUAACUCCGUG